rnacentral:rRNA from 1 species
AACGAACGCUGGCGGCAUGCCUAACACAUGCAAGUCGAACGAACCCUUCGGGGUGAGUGGCGCACGGGUGCGUAACACGUGGGAACCUGCCCUUAGGUUCGGAAUAACACAGAGAAAUUUGUGCUAAUACCGGAUAAUGUCUUCGGACCAAAGAUUUAUCGCCUUUGGAUGGGCCCGCGUAGGAUUAGCUAGUUGGUGAGGUAAAGGCUCACCAAGGCGACGAUCCUUAGCUGGUCUUAGAGGAUGAUCAGCCACACUGGGACUGAGACACGGCCCAGACUCCUACGGGAGGCAGCAGUGGGGAAUAUUGGACAAUGGGCGAAAGCCUGAUCCAGCAAUGCCGCGUGAGUGAUGAAGGCCUUAGGGUUGUAAAGCUCUUUUACUGGGGAUGAUAAUGACAGUACCCAGAGAAUAAGCCCCGGCUAACUCCGUGCCAGCCGCCGCUGUAAGAC